AAUGAACGCUGGCGGCAUGCCUAACACAUGCAAGUCGAACGAGACCACCGGGUGUUGUUGCGCAUGCGUGUGGCGCGCGUGGGAACCGUCCCGCAUGUAUGGAAUAACUCUCCGACAGGGGUGCUAAUACGGGGUAAUUUCUACUGACCACAGAUUUAUCGCCCUUGGAUGGGCAAGCGUUGGAUUAGCUUGUUGGGAGGGUAAAAGCCUACCCAGGCGACGAUCCAUAGCUGGUCUGAGAGGAUGAUCAGCCACACUGGGACUAGGAAACGGUACAGACUAUUACGGGAGGGAGGAGUGGGGAAUAUAGCAAAAUCGGCGAAAGGAUGAACGAGCACGGCCGGGUGAGUCCUGAAGGCAUGAGAGAAGAAAAGCUCUUUUACCCGGGAUGAUAAUGACAGUACCGGGAGAAUAAGCUCCGGCUAACUCCGUG
rnacentral:rRNA from 1 species